GAUGAACGCUAGCGGCAGGCCUAACACAUGCAAGUCGAGGGGGAAGUUACUUUCGGUGGACUGAGACCGUCGUACGGGUGCGUAACGCUUAUACAAUCUGCCUUUCACUGUGGGAUAGCCCUAAGAAAGUUGGAUUAAUACCCCAUAGGAUAUAUGUACUGCAUCGUUUUUUUAUUAAAUCUUAGGUGGUGAAAUAUGAGUAUGCGUUCUAUUAGCUACUUGGAGAGGUAACGGCUCCCCAAGGCGAUGAUAGAUAGGGGUUCGGAGAGGCAUGUCCCCCACAACGGUACUGCGAUACGGACCAGACUGCUACGGGAGGGAGCAGUGAGGAAUGUAGGACAAUGGUCGGAAGCAUGAUACAGCCAUGCCGCGUGCAGGAUGCAGGUGUUAUGGAUUGUAAACUGCUUUUGUAAGGGAAGAAUAAGGGCUACGCGUAGUUUGAUGACGGUACCUUACGAAUAAGCAUCGGCUAACUCCGUG
rnacentral:rRNA from 1 species